rnacentral:rRNA from 1 species
GUGAGGAAUAUUGCGCAAUGGGCGAAAGCCUGACGCAGCGACGCCGCGUGGAGGAUGAAGGUCUUCGGAUUGUAAACUUCUGUUAAGUGGGAAGAAAGGGCUGUUUUUAAUAGAAGCAGUUAAUGACGGUACCAUUAAAGAAAGCACCGGCUAAACUCGUGCCAGCAGCCGCGGUAAUACGAGUGGUGCAAGCGUUAAUCGGAAUAAUUGGGCGUACAGGGUGUGUAGGCGGUAUGUUAAGUCUGUUGUUAAAGACUCCGGCCUAACCGGAGACAGGCAGCGGAAACUGGCGUACUAGAGGGUGGAAGAGAGAAGUGGAAUUCUCGGUGUAGCGGUAAAAUGCGUAGAUAUCGAGAGGAACACCGAUGGCGAAGGCAGCUUCUUGGUCCAUACCUGACGCUGAAACACGAAAGCGUGGGGAGCAAACAGGAUUAGAAACCCGUGUAGUCC